UACGUAGGGGGCUAGCGUUGUCCGGAUUUAUUGGGCGUAAAGAGCGUGUAGGCGGCCAGGUAGGUCUGCUGUGAAAACUCGAGGCUCAACCUCGAGACGUCGGCGGAAACCAUCUGGCUAGAGUCCGGAAGAGGAGAGUGGAAUUCCUGGUGUAGCGGUGAAGUGCGCAGAUAUCAGGAAGAACACCCGUGGCGAAGGCGGGUCUCUGGGCCGAUACUGACGCUGAGGAGCGAAAGCGUGGGGAGCGAACAGG
rnacentral:rRNA from 1 species